rnacentral:tRNA from 1 species
GCCCCUGUAGCUCAGGUGGAUAGAGCAAAGGAUUCCUAAUCCUUGUGCCGCGUGUUCGAGUCACGCCAGGGGCG